rnacentral:rRNA from 1 species
UCAAGUUACUAAGGGCACACAGGGGAUGCCUUGGCGCAGGUAGGCGAUGAAGGACGUGGCAAGCUGCGAUAAGCUCCGAGGAGCCGCUAAGCGGGCUUUGAUCCGGAGAUUUCCGAAUGGGGAAACCCACCAUGGUGAAGCCAUGGUAUCCUCACCUGAAUCCAUAGGGUGAGGAGGCGAACCCAGGGAAGGGAACCAUCUCAGUACCUGGAGGAACAGAAAGCAACCGCGAUUCCCUCAGUAGCGGCGAGCGAACGGGGAACAGCCCAAACCGCAUGCAUGUUAAAGCCUGGGCGCGUUGUGCAUGCGGGGUCGUGGGACCCGACCUGGCUUCGGCCCGGAGAAGCCGGGGAGUAAAAAAGGGCAAUCUUAGCUGAAUACCAUGGAAAGGGUAACCAGAGAAGGUGAAAGUCCUGUAGGCGACAAGAUUGUCUCUCCCGGUCGGGCACCCAAGUACCACGGGACACGUGGAAUCCUGUGGGAAUUCAGGAGGACCAUCUCCUAAGGCUAAAUACUAACCUGCGACCGAUAGCGCACUAGUACCGUGAGGGAAAGGUGAAAAGAACCCCUGUUAGGGGAGUGAAACAGAACCUGAAACUGUGUGCUUACAAGCACUCGGAGCCCCCGCAAGGGGGUGACGGGGUGCCUUUUGCUUAAUGAGCCGGCUAGUUACUCUAUGCGGCGAGGUUAAUUCCUUUUAAGGAAGGAGCCGUAGCGAAAGCGAGUCCGAAUAGGGCGACCAGUCGUAUGGAGUAGACGCGAAGCCGAGGUGAUCUACCCUUGGCCAGGAUGAACUGUGGGUAACACCACAGGGAGGUCCGAACCGGUGUUGGUUGAAAACAGCUCGGAUGAGCUGAGGGUAGGGGUGAAAGGCUAAUCAAACUCGGAGAUAGCUCGUUCUCCCCGAAAUAGCUUUAGGGCUAGCCUCGCGCGAAUGGUAUAGGAGGUAGAGCACUGGAUGGCCUAGGGGGCCGAAAGGCCUUCCGAAUCCAACCAAACUCCGAAUUCCUAUAACCACUACGCGGGAGUAAGACUACGAGCUCUAAGGUCCGUGGUCAAAAGGGAAACAGCCCAGACCGCCAGCUAAGGUCCCUAAAUGCAAGCUAAGUGGGCAAGGAUGUGGAAACGCUUAGACAACCAGGAGGUUGGCUUAGAAGCAGCCAUCCUUUAAAGAAAGCGUAACAGCUCACUGGUCAAGUAUUUCCGCGCCGACAAUGUAACGGGGCUAAGCUUGCUACCGAAGCUGCGGAAUCGGUUUUACCGAUUGGUAGGGGAGCAUUCCGUAGGCGCUGAAGUAAGAUCGCGAGGUCUUAUGGAGCGUACGGAAGAGACUCUGCCGGCACGAGUAGCGAUAACUGCUGUAGAAACCAGCAGCGCCGAAAAUCUAAGGUUUCCUGGGGAAGGUCAGUCCGCCCAGGGUUAGUCGGCACCUAAGCUGAGGCCGAAAGGCGUAGGCGAUGGAGAGCAGGUCAACAUUCCUGCACCACCCGUAGGACGUUUGUACGAUGGGGGGACGCAGAAGGAUAGGCAUACGUGCGAUUGGAAAUGCACGGCCGCCAAGUAGGGGGAGCUCCCAGGCAAAUCCGGGAGCUCGUUAACCCUGAAUACGGCGGGGAAGCAGGGCUUCGGUCCUGUGAACUUGCUGAAUCCACGCUGCCGAGAAAAUCCUCUAAGGAGUUUUACGGGUGACCGUACCGCAAACCGACACAGGUAGAUGAGGAGAGAAUCCUAAGGCGCACGUGUGAGCCCUCUCUAAGGAACUAGGCAAGUUGACCCCGUAACUUCGGGAGAAGGGGUGCCUCGUUAGGGUUUAGUUGCAUAAACAAAGCCCGAGGAGGCCGCAGAAAAAUGGCUCUUGCGACUGUUUAGUAAAAACACAGGACUCUGCAAAGACAUAAAAUCGAUGUAUAGGGUCUGACGCCUGCCCGGUGCCGGAAGGUUAAGGGGAGGGGUUAGCCGCAAGGCGAAGCUCCGAACCGAAGCCCCGGUAAACGGCGGCCGUAACUAUAACGGUCCUAAGGUAACUCUGAAAAAGAGCUGCCUUUCCCGGUAGUAAUACCGGGACUCAUACUUGGCUGUAUGCGGGAACACCCUUAGAGCUCUGUCUACCAGCCAUGAAAGCGGCGGUAAAAAUGAUAGAGAUUGGGCAAUCCGCAGGAAAUCCUGAGCUUAAGGCAGGCUCAGGAGAUCCUCAGAGGCCAUACGCCAGGUAUCCAUCUCGAGACAGGAGGAAAGUAUGGAUUUGUCUCCUGAUUGGGUAGUUGGGUUCGUUGACGGAGAGGGAUGUUUUCACGUGAGUGUUCAAAGUCAUCCUGAGAUGACUGCUGGUUACCAGGUCCUGCCCGAAUUUGUCGUGGUUCAGCACAGACGAGAUAUUCAAGUUCUUUAUGCCCUGAAGAAGUUUUUCCAGGGCGGCGUGGUCAGAGUAAACCAUGCCGACCGAUAUUCUUACCGAAUUAGAAAGCUCGAGCAGCUUGAGAGAAUUUGUGAGUUCUUUAUGAAUCAUCCUCUAAAAACCAAGAAGAAUGUUGAUUUCAGAAAGUUCCGGAAAAUAAUCUUGAUGAUGAAAGAGAAGAAGCACCUGAGCCAAGAAGGAUUAAAAGAAAUAAUUGACCUGGCCCUGCAGAUGAACACCACUGAGCGUCCUGCUCUGGAAAAAAUUAAGAGCGCUCUUGAGAAUGGAUAAAGAUAUGGUCCACUCCAGACAGAAAUGUCCGGGUAAAGUGAGCGAAAUUCCUUGUCGGGUAAGUUCCGACCCGCACGAAAGGCGUAACGACAUGAGCGCUGUCUCAGAGAGGGGCACGGCGAAACUGUGGUACCGGUGAAGACGCCGGUUACCUGCCGCUGGACGGAAAGACCCCGGCACCUUAACUGCAGCCUAGCAUUGGAUUUUGGAAUAUGAUGCGCAGAAUAGGUGGGAGGCUAUGAAGCCGCACCUCCGGGUGUGGUGGAGCCGUCGGUGAGAUACCACUCUUCAUGUUCUGAAGUUCUAACCCACUGCCCUUAUCGGGUAGGGGGACAGUGUUAGGUGGGUAGUUUGACUGGGGCGGUCGCCUCCUAAAAGGUAACGGAGGCGCCCUAAGGUUCCCUCAGGUUGUUUGGAAAUCAACCGUAGAGUGCAAAGGCACAAGGGAGCUUGACUGUGAGACCGACGGGUCGAGCAGGUGCGAAAGCAGGGCUUAGUGAUCCGGUGGUCCCGUAUGGAAGGGCCAUCGCUCAACGGAUAAAAGGUACGCCGGGGAUAACAGGCUAAUAGUCUCCAAGAGCUCACAUCGACGA